ACCUCCAUACACCCCGAUGUGAACAUGCAAUGGUUAUGUAACUUGUUUUUCUAUCUCUAAUUCAGCUGAGUCACUUUCCCAUAGUCCUCUUCUACUUAGCCAAAAUAACAGGCCUGAACCAUGAUUUUAAAAAACUUUUUUAAAGUUUUACUUAUUGGUAACAGGUUUGUUUGAUCUAUUUUGAAGUCAAAACAGCUUGUAAAGAAGAGGGAAGGAAUGCGAGAAAAUAAAGGCAGAGAUUCACAAGAGUCCUUUAGCAGCUGAGCCCCCCAGCUUGUCCAUCCCACUCGCCAUCCUGCACCAAGGAGGCAAAGGCUUGGCAACAAGUACACCAGUCCUGUGGUUUGCCCUGCUGCUCACCAGUUGUGGAUUCUCAUGUUGCUUUAGAGGGAAAUUAAAGCAGCUGCCUCCUGUGGGACAUGACCCUGUGUCCCCUCAGGCUCACUUUCAUGUGGUGUUCAAUAGCUUUGCCGACUGAACAGGUUUUGUGGGGCCACACCAUCAGCACUGGGAAGCGGAGCACAAUGUAAACCACAGAGGGCAGAUGAGACAACUUUUGGCACCCAAUUCUUAUCCCUAUAAUGAUUCCACUUUGGAAAAUAAAGUUCUGCACAUACCUUGUAUAUGCACUGUGUUAAGACACCUCUGAUGAGGUAUAAUUUAGUUGCUCCUAUGGCAGAGUGAUGUGCAGGCUACUUUGCUCUUUCCAGGAAGCAUCAGCCAGCAAGGAGGUGCAGCAGGCUAGAAUUCCCUUUGCCCAGCCCAAGGGUACCCCUGGUGUAUCUGGCCCACUUAGGCAAGUUUGGGCAGCCUGUGGUGCCUCUUCUGGCCUUUUGUGAUGGUGAGGAGAGUCUGAAAACUGCAUGCAGGCAAGUAUGCAAAGACAACAACCGCUCCUAAGAAGCCCUAGAAAAGAAAUGCUGUUCUGAAAAGAAAUAAAAGUAUGUUAUAUAAAAAAUGGCAUUAUUCUUGAGUUUUCCUGCUCUAUGUGAAAUUGUCUCUUUUUUUCCAAAGAGGAAACACAGUCCUUAAAUUAGAUCUCACAGAGAUGCUGGCUCCAGAAUUGUGAAAAUUAAUACACAAGCAAUUAAAUUUGAAAACAAAAAAAUCCCAACAAUGAAUCAGGAAAGAAGUCACUGGCAUUAAAACCAGAGUUAUGCAAAUUAAGCCAUAAACUCUCAGCCAAAUUUAGGAAAUUUUUUGAUCUUUAAUUCACUUCACUCUGCCAUCAGAAUCCUUCUUGCCUACUUUCCCUCAGGAUAGAAGUCCAUCAUUAAAUAAUGGAUGCAUAAACCCCUUUUUUUAUUUCUUCCUCUAAAUAAAAUUCUUUAUUGGAAAUACUGGAGAGGAGCAAAAAUUAAGGAUGAAAAGAAACUACAGUGAUGGUAAGUGACAAACAAAGCCAGGGCUUGAAGAAUUAAUUUCAUUCUCUGAAUUACACUGAUCUAAUUUGCAAGGUCAUUAUAUGCAUCUUUGUUUGAGAAUUCUACAGGAGAGUAGGAGAGUCCUACACAUAGAGAAAGGAGUAAAAUACAGUCUUCAUUUGAUGUGAAGUUUUGAUU